rnacentral:ncRNA from 1 species
UAGAAGUUUGGCUCUGGCUUAAGAUACUUGAAUAACGUAAACUUAGAGAUACACAUGGUUCUUUUAGGGCUUGGUGAGGUGGAGUUAACAUUAUUAAUUUAUUAUUUAGACAUAUGAUGUUUUUAUAAAUUUAAAUGUAAUUUGGUAUUAUUAAAAUAUAUUAUGCCAUAAGUGAAUCACUAACACCAGUGUUGAAUAUUAAGAUAUGAACGUAAGUUUGAAUUAGCUUAGUUAUGUUGAGGUCUGGUUAAUAUGGUGCCAGCAUCCGCGGUUAAACCAUAGGACCUAGUUAUUUGAUUGUAGGUUAAAAGUGGUUAAGUGUUUAAACUUGUUUGAUGAAUUAAAAUUUUAUUGGUAAAAUCUGUAAAAUUGUUAUAAGUUUGACCCAAGCGUAAGGGCUGAUGCCACUAAAUUCUUGAUUAAAACUAGGAUUAGAUACCCUAUUAUUCUUGAUUUAAAAGAUGAAUACCAGAGUACUACGAAUAAGAGAUUAAAAUUAUAUGGUAAUUAAUUUAAAACUCAAAGAGCUUGGCGGUAUUUUAGACCACUCAGGGGAACCUGUCUCUUAAUCGAUAACCCACGUAGUACCUUACUUUCUUUUGUGUAGUUUGUAUACCGUCGUCGGCAGGUAACUUUUUAGAAAAUAGUAGUUAGCGAUAUAUUAAGUUUUUACUUUUUACGUCAGAUCAAGGUGCAGCUUAUGAGGGAGUGAAGAUGGGUUACAGUUAAUAUUUUUAAUUACGGAUAUGAUAAUGGAUAUUAUUGUUGAAGGUGGACUUGAAAGUAAAACUAAGAUUAUUUUAUGAAGAAAUUUUGAAUUUAUGGCUCUGAAAUGUGCACACAUCGCCCGUCGCUCUCGUUGAAAAAUGAGAUAAGUCGUAACAUAGUAGGGGUAACGGAAGUUGUCUCUUGAUGAUA